rnacentral:rRNA from 1 species
UACGUAGGUGGCAAGCGUUGUCCGGAUUCAUUGGGCGUAAAGAGCGUGUAGGCGGCCAGGUAGGUCGGUUGUGAAAACUGGAGGCUCAACCUUCAGAGGUCGACCGAAACCAUCUGGCUAGAGUCCGGGAGAGGAGAGUGGAAUUCCUGGUGUAGCGGUGAAAUGCGCAGAUAUCAGGAAGAACACCCGUGGCGAAGGCGGCUCUCUGGUACGUGACUGACGCUGAGACGCGAAAGCGUGGGGAGCAAACAGG